rnacentral:rRNA from 1 species
AUUGAACGCUGGCGGCAUGCCUUACACAUGCAAAUCGAACGGUAACGGGCCUUCGGGUGCCGACGAGUGGCGAACGGGUGAGUAAUACAUCGGAACGUGCCCGAUCGUGGGGGAUAACGAGGCGAAAGCUUUGCUAAUACCGCAUACGAUCUACGGAUGAAAGCAGGGGACCGCAAGGCCUUGCGCGGACGGAGCGGCCGAUGGCAGAUUAGGUAGUUGGUGGGAUAAAAGCUUACCAAGCCGACGAUCUGUAGCUGGUCUGAGGGGAUGAUCAGCCACACUGGGACUGAGACACGGCCCAGACUCCUACGGGAGGCAGCAGUGGGGAAUUUUGGACAAUGGGCGCAAGCCUGAUCCAGCCAUGCCGCGUGCAGGAUGAAGGCCUUCGGGUUGUAAACUGAUUUUGUACGGAACGAAAAGCCUUCUUUUAAUACAGGAGGGUCAUGACGGUACCGUAAGAAUAAGCACCGGCUAACUACGUG